GUUUUUUCUCAGGCAGCAAUGUCUGAGAAACGUUCACUGUGAACAAAUCAGGACGCUUAGAGUAUGGUUACAAGAAUGACUCAGCGCAGUAUGAAUUUUUUGUUUUCUUCGGAAAACAAGCUCAACGAGAGCCAUCGGGGGUAGAUCUAUCUCAUGACGAGUGGUGGAAUACGGUGACUCAUGAGAGAGACACGGAGGCGAAGGCGUCUACCUAGAGGGUUUCUGUCGAUCAAGGGCGAGAGUAGGAGUAUCCAACAGGAUUAGAGACCCUGGUAGUUCCUACUAUAAACGAUGCCGACAGGAGUUUGUCAUUUAAUAAUGGCAGAAUCUUUGGAGAAAUCAUAGUUCUUGGGCUCUGGGGGAACUACGACCGCAAGGCUGAAACUUGAAGGAAUUGACGGAAGGGCACACCAGGGGUGGAGCCUGUGGCUUAAUUUGAAUCAACACGGGGAAACUUACCAGGACCAGAUGUUUUUUAUGACUGACAGGCUUUGGGUCUUUCAGGAUAUGAUUUUUGGUGGUGCAUGGCCGUUGGUGGUGCGUGGGUUGACCUGUCUAGCGUUGAUUCAGCUAACGAGCGAGAUUAUCGCCAAUUAUAUACUACGCCUAGGUUUCUAGGUUGC
rnacentral:rRNA from 1 species